rnacentral:rRNA from 1 species
GCUAAUACCGCAUACGUCCUACGGGAGAAAGCAGGGGACCUUCGGGCCUUGCGCUAUCAGAUGAGCCUAGGUCGGAUUAGCUAGUUGGUGAGGUAAUGGCUCACCAAGGCGACGAUCCGUAACUGGUCUGAGAGGAUGAUCAGUCACACUGGAACUGAGACACGGUCCAGACUCCUACGGGAGGCAGCAGUGGGGAAUAUUGGACAAUGGGCGAAAGCCUGAUCCAGCCAUGCCGCGUGUGUGAAGAAGGUCUUCGGAUUGUAAAGCACUUUAAGUUGGGAGGAAGGGCAGUUACCUAAUACGUGAUUGUUUUGACGUUACCGACAGAAUAAGCACCGGCUAACUCUGUGCCAGCAGCCGCGGUAAUACAGAGGGUGCAAGCGUUAAUCGGAAUUACUGGGCGUAAAGCGCGCGUAGGUG